rnacentral:rRNA from 1 species
UACGGGGGGGGCAAGCGUUGUUCGGAAUUACUGGGCGUAAAGGGCGUGUAGGUGGCCAACUAAGUCCGACGUGAAAUCCCCGGGCUCAACCCGGGAACUGCGUCCGAUACUGGCAGGCUUGAAUCCGGGAGAGGGAUGCGGAAUUCCAGGUGUAGCGGUGAAAUGCGUAGAUAUGCGGAGGAACACCGAUGGCGAAGGCAAUCCCCUGGGGGUAACACUGACGCUCAUGCACGAAAGCGUGGGGAGCAAA